GAACAUGUUAGGCUUGGACUUGGGUGUCUGCCAGCAAUGGCUCACCUCAAAUGACUUAGUGGAACAUCCCACAUCAGUGUUAGACGUAAUAAGUUUCGUCUCUCCUUGUGGUGAUGACUGCUCAAAACCUGCCAUCGCGCACCUUUUGACUUUGACCUGAAAUCAGGUAGGGCUACCCGCUGAACUUAAGCAUAUCAAUAAGCGGAGGAAAAGAAACUAACAAGGAUUCCCCUAGUAACGGCGAGUGAACCGGGAAGAGCUCAAAUUUGAAAUCUGGCGUGCUCAGUGCGUCCGAGUUGUAAUCUAUAGAGUCGUUUUCCGUGCCGGACUGUGUCCAAGUCCCUUGGAACAGGGUAUCAAAGAGGGUGAUAAUCCCGUACUUGACACAAUGACCGGUGCUCUGUGAUACGUCUUCUACGAGUCGAGUUGUUUGGGAAUGCAGCUCAAAAUGGGUGGUGAGUUCCAUCUAAAGCUAAAUAUUGGCGAGAGACCGAUAGCGAACAAGUACCGUGAGGGAAAGAUGAAAAGCACUUUGGAAAGAGAGUUAAACAGUACGUGAAAUUGUUAAAAGGGAAACGAUUGAAGUCAGUCGUGACUGAGAGGCUCAGCCGGUUCUGCCGGUGUAUUCCCCUCAGUCGGGUCAACAUCAGUUUUGUUCGGUGGAUAAGGGCAGUUGGAAGGUGGCACCCUCGGGUGUGUUAUAGCCAGCUGUCGCAUACAUCGGAUGAGACUGAGGAAUGCAGCUCGCCUUUAUGGCCGGGGUCGCCCAC
rnacentral:rRNA from 1 species